rnacentral:lncRNA from 1 species
UCAGCUCCUGGAUGACUACAAGAAAGGGAACCUCCACAUCAUUCCAGACACUCCUCUGGCUGAGGAGAGAUCAGGAGAUGACAGUGAUGUGUUGAUAGCUGAUGAAGGAGAAAGUACCUGGAAUGUCCUAGAAUUCUCAAGACCCAGGAGAUGAACAUAUGCCUGAGAAGAAGAACUAGUGUGGAACUGUCAGCCAGGUUUUUGAUGAGUGCUCAGACUGCUUCCUGAUC